UGGGGAAUAUUGGACAAUGGGCGAAAGCCUGAUCCAGCCAUGCCGCGUGAGUGAUGAAGGCCCUAGGGUUGUAAAGCUCUUUCAACGGUGAAGAUAAUGACGGUAACCGUAGAAGAAGCCCCGGCUAACUUCGUGCCAGCAGCCGCGGUAAUACGAAGGGGGCUAGCGUUGUUCGGAAUUACUGGGCGUAAAGCGCACGUAGGCGGAUUGUUAAGUGAGGGGUGAAAUCCCAGGGCUCAACCCUGGAACUGCCUUUCAUACUGGCAAUCUAGAGUCCGGAAGAGGUGAGUGGAAUUCCGAGUGUAGAGGUGAAAUUCGUAGAUAUUCGGAGGAACACCAGUGGCGAAGGCGGCUCACUGGUCCGGUACUGACGCUGAGGUGCGAAAGCGUGGGGAGCAAACA
rnacentral:rRNA from 1 species